GAAUUUUCCAUUUAAUAUUCUCGGACCAUGGUUGACUAUAGGAAGCUGAAACCAUGGACAAGGGAUUACUGAAAGCCCAGCUGAGACAACUGCUAGGACAGUGUGCUCUAAAAGCAGUGACAAGGACCUCUCUCAUCUGCAGAUCAAGUCUCCAGUAAACCACACUGGCUUCAAACUCGCUCCAUAACUGAAGAUGAUCUUGAACUUUUCAUCUGUUCGCUUCCUCUUUCCAAGAGGUGGGAUUAUAGGCUUGCACCACCAUGUCCCCUGUACGUGGUGUUGGGCCUUGAACCCAGGCCUUCCUGCCUGUUCGGAAGACUCUGAUUUCAGUUGGAAACAACAGUGUGCCCACAUGAAAGACUGCAGCUCUCCCCUGAAGAUAAGAGUGUCAAAAGACAGAACCCGAGUGAGGCUCUCAUGAAAGUUCUUUAAAGGGCAUUGACAGCACCAUCACCUCUUGUCAUCUUGGUCUUUCCUCCUGCUUGGAAUGAGCAUGUGGUAGUUGGAAGUGAAGCUCUGAUCUUGUCACCAUGACUUUGAAGAUGGAAGCCAUGAGAUAAGAAUGUCUAUUUGAUGAUGUCGCACCGUACCUGCUCUACAGUGCUCUCUUCUUUGAUAUCAGAG